CACUGUGCGUGUGUGUGGUCAAUCUCACAAGGCAGAGGGAAAGGGGUAAACCCUAAUUCUCAAGAAAUCUCCAAAUUGAAAAGGGAAUUGAAGGUUUUUAGGAUGCAUGUAUCAAGAUUAUCGAUCUCCUAAGUGUUCUUCACUAUCAAGAACGUGUCAAGGAGAGGUCAAGCAUAGGAGGAUAACGGGUCAAGAUAAGGCAAGGUGACAAAUACACUUAAUGGAGUACUCGAGGUAAGUGAAUUUCGAUUCACUUUUUAGUAGGUUUAAUAGAUUUUAAUACUUAUGUUUACGAAACAUCAUGAAAGAACAUGUAAUAAUCAGAAGUACAAAGCCAAUAAUGCCUCAUUAUUGAGGAAGGUUGUAUUAAGCCGAAAGUAAAUUGGUGGGUUUAAACGGGUCGACUUUUAUGUGCAUAUGUUGCGUAAUGUAAUGAAAUUCGUUAUGGUUAAGACCUUGGGUAGGAAUUUUUAGUCAUUAUGUAAGGGGAACACUUCCCGGACCAUUAGGAACAAGUUUUAUAUGAUUCGGUUGUCGGUUAGUUAAUGAACGGAUUGUUUCAUGUUAGUGUAGGAAAUUUUAUAAGUAUAUGUGUAUAGGAACCCAAAGGGCACGUGGGUUGAAUCAUAGAUUGUUUAUACUAUGUAAAGUUGUGAAUGUGACAUUCCGGCAUAAACCUACAUGUAAAAGAAGCUUGUGUAUAUAUUCGUGAUUAAUUGAUUGUGCGUAGGAAGGAACAUUGGCAUGUAUGAAGGUACGCAUGUAUAUGUAAGUGUGUAUAUAUAUAUAUAUAUGUAUGUAUAUAUGAUAAUAAGUACGUAGGUGUGAAUGUAUGUGUGAAUGAAUGUUCAAUGCUUAAGACAUAUGCAUGAACGUUAUCAAAGUGUUCGAGUAUUUAUGGUUACUAAUGAUGUGCGUUGAGUUGGAAUGUAAUGUAGGUAUGGGAUCGUUGGCUUCAUGAAGAAAUGGGCUGGAUUUGGAUAAGAGUAUUUAAGAAAGCGCUUGGACAAUUCCACGACUACUUUAUAGAAUGCUCUACGAAAUUCUAUUAUAUAGUUUAAUGUUGUAUGGUAUGUUAAUGACUAAUGGUUUGGUUGUACGUGGUGUCCACAGGUAUCGCUUGGGUUUUCUCUACAUUUAUUGAAGUGAAGCGGACUUAGUUCGAGUUGAGAGCAAGGAUUGUACGGGGUAGAAUGGUCACAUAGUGUAACUCAUAUAGAUUUUGAAGUAUUUGAACCUUCAUGUGUUUGAUAUGUCUAUUAAAGAACGAAAUUUUUGGGCUCUUGUUUUCCGUUGCGUCGUAUUUUAAGUUAUUAUACGUUAGUCUUACAGGGAAUUGUUCUUAUUACGAACGGGUCAUGCCCGAAUUUUGUUAAAUAAUAGUAUGAUAAUAUUACAUUUUGGAAUGUGUAAUUUGGGCGUUACAAGUUGGUAUCAGAGCCCUGGUUUGAGGGAAAUCAAGUAUGAGGAGGCAAAUACUUGAACUCAAACCUGUGUGCUCUUGUGACGAGAAACCCGUACAAUCCAAGACUCGAUCAAGAUCUAAAGGUAGAAGCAAAUGUAAGUAUGAAUUUAAGUAUGUUUAUUAAGAAACUAACAUUAUGUUGUGUGUAAGAUAAGCAUAGUUGUUUGGAUGAGGAUGAUCCACGACUGUGGUCUCGGACUGACACCAAGGCAUGUAAUAAGACCAUUGCCCAGGUACGUAAAUUUUGCAUAAGGGUGCAUGUAAUGCUAAAAGUUAUCGAGUGAAGGAAAAUUUUAAUGAAAUAUAAUAAUAUAAUGGAAACGAAGUUAUGAAAAUGUUACACGUGCCGAAACCUAAUUCUUCGGACAUAAGGUGACGAUUACACGAAGACACGAAACUAGUAUGUGGAUUGUGUCCCUGGCCAGUACACAAGAAACAUAAGACGUUCGUGAGACCGUAAUGAUUGUUACAGGUAUGUCCGAUAGGAUUUGGUAGCGGCUGGGUGUGUGGGUGAAAUGGGUAGUAAGACUCUCGGGAGGUUGAGAGUACUAUGUAAGGGUGAAAAGUAUAAGUGAUAAGAAUGAAAUAUUGAGUCCAUAAGAAAGUAUGGAUUGACAAUGUAUGAAUGCAAUGUUUGAAUCCGCGAGACGGAUUCAAGGAUGAAAGGUAUGAAUGCAAUGUUUGAAUCCGCGAGACGGAUUCAAGGAUGAAAGAUAUGAAUGCAAUGCUUGAGUCCGCGAGACGGAUUCAAGGAUGAAAGAUGUGAAUGCAAUGCUUGAAUCCGCGAAACGGAUUCAAAGAAUGAAAGAUACGAAUGAUGCAAAUCCCUUGCGGAUUUGAUUAUGCUAAAGAAGGUUAUGAUAAGCUAUGCAAAUCGACCGGUUCAAGUUGAACAAGUCGAGUAAGGAUAGGGUACCAUCCGUUUAGAACGGGUGGUCGUGAAUGCAAUAAUAAAUGUAUGAAGUUCAACCCGUUAUACGGACAGAACGAAAUAUUUAUGUUGAACACAAUUAACUCGAUUUUACCGAGGCGUAAGUGGUAUGCUUGAAUCUCAUUAUGAGAAUAUAUGCCAUUACCCAUUUAAUUAGAUACUCGAAUGCGUAAAAGAAAUGAAAGUAUAUAAGCGAAUGGAACUAAAAUGUUGGUGUUGUAAGCGAAAUAAGUAUUAUGACUAACCUUUAAAACGGGAAGGGUAAAAAUUUGCAAGAAAACACUGGAACAGUGAAGCUAUGAGGUCGUAAGCAUGUUUGAAUUGAAAAAGAGUACAAACGUGUACUUCGAUACGCAUGUAUAUAAUAAGAAAUAAGUGGCAGUUGACCUUGAAAAGUCAAACUGCAGAAGCUGAGAAAUAAUUUGGUUUCAAACCAAGGGAGUGCUAGAGAAGAAAGGAAAUGUGUAGUGUAGUACACCAAAUGAGUUAAAGAAUUACGAAAUAAUGAUUAUGUAUUUACCCGUCACGAACGGGUCAAACAAUGAGAAUGAUAUAUAUAUAUAUAUAUAUUAAGAAAUGGUCAUGUAUUGACCCGUUAUGAAUAAGCUUAACACACUAGUGCUUUAAAAAGAAUCUUGGAAGUAGUAAUAUGUAAACAAGGAGAAGUAAUAAACAUCAUGUUUAAAUGAACUUGAAUGAAAUGUGAUAAUCCCCAAUUUUAUAAUGAGUGAUAGUGUGAUAAACCUAUCUAGGUCAGUGAAAGAAUGUUCAUAAGCGAAAGCUCGUCACACGGAUAAACGAGGUCGAUACGAAACAUGGUAUGGAUGGGGACGAAGAGGACCGACUCGUUGCUACAUGUUCAAGUACUGCACCAAGGUAGUAAGGUUAGCAAAUUAUUUAAUAUAUGAAGGUACGAUGCUCGAAUCCCUCAAACCUACGCUCUCGUGAAAGUGUGUUCGUUUCUAAGCGCCACGCAAGUAAGUGAUUUAAGGAUUUCGAGCUAUGCUUUUAGAUGAAAACGGAAAUGGGUUAUGGAUAAAUUACUAUUAUAACCUGGGUUGGGACGUUAUGGGAUGUUAGGGAAGGUUUCGGGACUGCCCGAGACCAUUUCUGGUUGGAAAAAAAAAGAGACCCGGGAACAAAAAAUUUUUGGUCAAACAGCGUCUGCACACCAGAGAGCCCGUCGGCGACGGCCUUUAUGCCGUCGGCGACGGCACCCCUCCACCUGACACGCUAACUGCCUGUCUACGGGCAAUGUUUAGCGACGGGACCUUCCCGAGCCCGUCGGCGACGCACCAUGUGCCGUCGGCGACGGGUCCCCCUUAUCUGCUUAUGCUGAAAUUGUUUGUUUAUUAGGCUAAGGUCCUUAAUUCAGUUCUAGCAUUCAUUAAACACUAAGAACACCCCAGAUUGAUUAUGAAGCUAGGAAAUUCAAGACAACUAUCGUGUUUUAAUGAUGAAUGUGUGGGAAGUUAUGUAUGCGAACGAAUGAAAUAAGUAACACAUCUAGAAUGUUUGUAAAGAAAGAUUGGGUAAGUUUAUAAAAAUUUUACGCUAUCAUUGAGAAAGUACCUCCAUAUGAAUAAGUACGAUAUGUUAAAUGUGUACGAAUGAACGAGAUUGAAUGCGGAAAUGAAUAAAAUAAUGAUGACUAGGGAUUGGUUUUCGCAAAGAAGUUUGAAAUCUUGAUAAGUAUGAAUAAUAUGUCAGGAUGCUAGUUUCAAAUUAUGGACUAUGGGAUCUGUGAUUAGGCAAUUUCUCACAACAUGCUUAUGUAAGUCGUCCAAUGUCACUUGAAUGAAUGAACGAACGAAGAAUAAAACUAGAUGGGUUAUAGAAGAAAUGAAAGAGGUUUCGGGGACGAAACCUUCUUUAAGGGGGAUAGAUUUGUAACACCCCAAAACUCGAAUUAUUAAAUUCGUUAGUAGGUUACCUUGGGUAAUUAGAUGAAGUACAACAACUAAGUUAUUAAACUUAGUUAAAUGUCUAAUAAAUAAGUAAAGGAAUGAACUUUGUGGCAACUAUGAUGAUGUGUUAGAGUUGAGGGACCUAGAUUGCCAUAAUGUAAACUAAA
rnacentral:lncRNA from 1 species